GUGGGGAAUCUUCCGCAAUGGACGAAAGUCUGACGGAGCAACGCCGCGUGAACGAUGACGGCCUUCGGGUUGUAAAGUUCUGUUAUACGGGACGAAUGGUACGACGGCCAAUACCCGUCGUAAGUGACGGUACCGUAAGAGAAAGCCACGGCUAACUACGUGCCAGCAGCCGCGGUAAUACGUAGGUGGCAAGCGUUGUCCGGAAUUAUUGGGCGUAAAGGGCGCGCAGGCGGCGUCGUAAGUCGGUCUUAAAAGUGCGGGGCUUAACCCCGUGAGGGGACCGAAACUGCGAUGCUAGAGUAUCGGAGAGGAAAGCGGAAUUCCUAGUGUAGCGGUGAAAUGCGUAGAUAUUAGGAGGAACACCAGUGGCGAAAGCGGCUUUCUGGACGACAACUGACGCUGAGGCGCGAAAGCCAGGGGAGCAAACGGGAUUAGAUACCCUGGUAGUCC
rnacentral:rRNA from 1 species